UACUGUGGCCAGGCCUACAGCUCUUGACUGAACAUGCUGCUGUGUACAGCGUAUCAGGCAGACCACAAACCAAAACCAUCCUGCGAGGGAUUUUUAGGGUCUACAAAUACAGUAAAGGUGUUGCCUCCUUGAACCUUGAUAAAGUAUUGUCAUUUGGUCAAAAGCAGUCCACAGUAGUGUGUCCCAUAAGAACUCAGUCUCUUCCCCGUUCCGCACUGCUGUUUGAGCAAACAAUUAGCCAAAGUUUCCCAUUUCAGUGACCCUGAAAUUCUGUAUUCCAAUUAUUUGGAGCAAUCUGGGAUUGAAACAACAACAAAGCAGUCAUCCCACCACUUCCGGACCUGAAGAAAUGAAACCGCUGCGCUCAUGAGCCAUUUAGAAGUGGUAAUAGUCAAGAUUCAAGACGGUGUCAUUCAUUUAAAAGUCCAAACAAGGAUGUUCCACUCCCAACAAGGACAGCCUCAAAUCUGACAGCUCCAGAAGAAGUGGGUCCAUCCUCAGCAGCCCAAGUCCCUGCUCAUCAUCAUCCCACAUAAAUAGACUGUAUCUGGUCAACAGGAGACUGAGAGACAGACGGGGAUAAUGCAAUAAAGAAUAUUUGUAUGUAAAUCUCUUUUUUUAUAUAAGGUAGAGAUGGAAAGAGAUGUAUCUGAUAGGAGCAAGCUGUGAGAAGUGCAUUCAUGUGUAUUUUGUCCUCUCCAAGUUCCAUUUAUACAUAUCAUAUUUGCUUCUCUUCAUUUUCUCCAAGACACUCACUCUUGAUGAGAUGGUAAAAUAUAAAAAGUGAGAGGAGUGUUUUUUUUUUUUUUGCUAAAGCAUAAAAAACAUUUCAAUGGUUGAUUAGAUGGAAGUACACGAUAAUUAUAAUCUAGCCUCAACAUUGUGUGAGACCCACUGGUUGGCUGGUUAGCAGGCUGGCUGGUUAGUAGGGUAUGUAGGUUGUUGGAUCUCCAUCUUCAGAUCCUGUUUGAAUGGCAAUCUGGCAAUCAUGAGAUAAUCAUCCUUGAUGAUCACUACUGGAACCCUGUCCCAAAUAAUACACCAUUCACUGUACAGUGUAGUAGUAUUGACCAGGACCCAUUCAUUGGUGCAAUAUACUAUGUGCAAUUUGAAUGUGAGCUACUCCGGAUUUGAUUACCCUCAUCAAUUGCCACUUUCAAAAUAAAAAUAAACUGAAUAAUUCAGGAAGUUACCCCAUUCAUUCUGUUUGUAGUAUUACUACUGAGCAAUAAUUCCCCUCUGACCUCCUUUGAUCAAUUUCUGUUUGAUAUU